AAAAUAAUAUGAAACAAGUCUGACAAACAUGGCAAAUAUGACAAAUAGGAAUGAUAUGAAAUCAAGAAGAAAGAUACAACGCACAGCAGAAGCAGAGUAGUAUCCUUACCCAACUAGUGUCAUAAAGGUAUGGUAUAAGACAAGAGUCACUACCUCCUAACCUACAACCCUAAUACUCGACCUCCACACGUUCCUAUCAAUCCCCACAGGAACCAAGUUGAAAUAGAAGAAAAAUAACAGAUAAACGAAAAUAUGCAUCAAAACCA
rnacentral:lncRNA from 1 species